UACGGAGGGUGCGAGCGUUGUCCGGAAUCAUUGGGCGUAAAGGGCGCGUAGGUGGCCCGGUCAGUUCGUGGUGAAAGCGCGGGGCUCAACCCUGCGUCGGCCAUGAAUACUGCCGCGGCUGGAGCACUGUAGAGGCAGGCGGAAUUCCGGGUGUAGCGGUGGAAUGCGUAGAGAUCCGGAAGAACACCGGUGGCGAAGGCGGCCUGCUGGGCAGUUGC
rnacentral:rRNA from 1 species